GAGCAGGCUGGGGGCUGAUCUUCUGCCUUGUCCCCACCUCAGCCUCCCUGUCCCAAUGCAUGCCCAAGCUGGUUCCUCAGUAUCCAUUUGGGCAAACACGUGGCUCAGAUGUGGGCACCUUGGGAGAGAUGUGGAGUCAGCGUCAGGGAAGAAGCCCUUGUGAUUAUAUAACAGUUCUCAAGAGGAAGCUGCUAACAAGCCCAUCUGAUAUUUUGUGCCAGCUGUUUCAGUGGAGGCGUGUUGGACUAGACUGAACUCCGCUUUCUUUGACAAGCAAAACAUCUGAAAAGUGACAGAACCUGAAGAAAAAGGGAAUUCAAAAUCUGGCUCUGAAUUUUCUCCUGGACCAGUCUGUUCUUCCGUAUCCACAGACAAGUAGGUUUCUGCAGGAGUAGUUUAGAAGCCCCACCAUUAACCUGUCUUUCUGCAUGGUGCAGCAACUCCUGCUAAGAUCCUGUGAGUAUUUUGUAUGCUGUUCUUCUCCCUGCAAAGUAAAAGCUGAGACAUAAAACUAGAAGAUCCUCUCUAUUGUGAACACAGCACAGGAAGGCAGUUGUGAUGGAUAGGAGCUGAGCUGUGAUCAUGCUGCGGGUAGCUCCUGCUCUGUUUUGGAGACAGUAUGUGUAUGAUUAAAGUUACAUACAGAAGAAUAUGCC
rnacentral:lncRNA from 1 species